GUGGGGAAUAUUGGACAAUGGGCGCAAGCCUGAUCCAGCCAUGCCGCGUGAGUGAUGAAGGCCCUAGGGUUGUAAAGCUCUUUCACCGAUGAAGAUAAUGACGGUAGUCGGAGAAGAAGCCCCGGCUAACUUCGUGCCAGCAGCCGCGGUAAUACGACGGGGGCUAGCGUUGUUCGGAAUUACUGGGCGUAAAGCGCACGUAGGCGGAUAUUUAAGUCAGGGGUGAAAUCCCAGAGCUCAACUCUGGAACUGCCUUUGAUACUGGGUAUCUCGAGUAUGGAAGAGGUGGGUGGAAUUCCGAGUGUAGAGGUGAAAUUCGUAGAUAUUCGGAGGAACACCAGUGGCGAAGGCGGCUCACUGGUCCAUUACUGACGCUGAGGUGCGAAAGCGUGGGGAGCAAACAGGAUUAGAAACCCCAGUAGUCC
rnacentral:rRNA from 1 species